rnacentral:ncRNA from 1 species
GUGUUGAAACUUGGUGGGGAAUCAGUGCGUAAUUCAUUGGCUCUACCUGGAACCGUAAAGUCGGAGUACCACCCAACAUAGCCCGCUGUUGAAUGAAGGCCAGGAAAAGUCUAGUUCUACUAUUAAAAA